UCUGUUGUGUUCUGGUUGUGGGGAGGUGGGGCGGGGAUUCUUAAUAUACCGGUUUGUGACUAACCGGCCUGACUUGAGCACUGUGAAGCUGCACGAUGACACAGCCGUCGUUACAUGUGUACGGUAGAAGCCCAGAACUGAGGUCUCCCAGUGCUGCCCUGGAGCAGAAUGGAAGGAAAAUCCACUGCAGAGAACAAUGGUUCCUGGAGGCAAAGUGCCCUGCUGUCCUUGGCUUUUGAAAAACAGCUGCUGCUACAAAACAGUUCUCAGGGUUUGCAUAAAACCUGGAACAGUGGUUUUGCUCCAAGGCAAAAUAAGCUGGAAAGCGACCCAGUCGUUUGGACACAAGCAGAGAGGAUAGAUGAUCCCGCUGCAGUACAAGAGAUGCAGACUUACUCUUCAUUGGCCACUCAGCAUAGCUUGUAAGUGCAAAUGCUGUUUGCUACGGUUGCCUUCUGCAACCUAACAGGGGCGGCUUCUGAUUUAGAGAAAGGAGUCCAUAGAAAAAUACAGGUAGGAAAAGGUGCUGUGGGAAGUGGGGCUUGUGAUUCAGCAGGGGGCGGUUUUUCUUGUGGGUCAGCAUCGAACCUAACCCAAGCCCAGCAUCAGGGCUUGUCUACACUACUGUGCGAGGUCAAGCUCAGAGACGCCACUUCAGCUACGUGAAUAGCGUAGCUGAAAUCAAAGUACUUAGAUCUACUCACCGCGGUAAAUCGACAGCCAACGCUCUCCCGUCCACUCCGCUUGCGCUUCUCGUUCUGGUGGAGUACUGGAGUCGACGGGAGAGCGCUCAGCUCAGAGCUGGACACGAUAAAUCGGAUCCGGCAGGUAGUGUAGACAAGCCCUUAAAGGGGGCCGAGCCGCUGGAGAGGCCGUCUGUUCGAAGAGUUGUAAAAACGAGGUCCAACAUUCAAAUCCAGGUCACUUCUAGCACCAUGUUAACGGCUGCUCAGCCUGGAAGCCAUUUGAAUGUACCAGCUUUGUUGAACCUACCCACCUAGGAACACAGCUACGUGUCCUGUCAGCUCUUUAGCUGCCCUAGCUAUCACCACACACCCAUCCACACAGUCGCUGCUUUUCUAUCCAGUUCUCAGGACAAUGUCUGUUCUUUGCCAAUCAGCACGUCUCACAGCCUCUGAGGGCCCACACAUGAAUUCACACACAGCCGGCGUCAGAAGAGGGGAUUGCUGCUUUCUGGUGAUGCUAAAAGAAAAACUUUUUGUUCAGGUGGGGUCUGUAAACAGCUAAGUGAGCCUGGGAUUAGAAAUGCUGCACUGAAAAACAGACAAUGCCCUUAAGAAUCUGCAGAAGACUCCAGUGUCUCUAUUUGACGGGUCACCCACCAGCACCUGUGCUGGCAGGGUUCUGCCCAACACAGUGCACCCUGGUACAUUUUGCUGCUGACAUCCACAGAUGCAAAUCUUCCCUUGUUAUUUAUGGGGCCCCCAGGACAGUUUCUGCCUCAAGAACUGGGAGAAUUCCAGGCACUUCCAGCAACCGUAAUACACCGUGCAAUAAAUGUUGGCAAUGCGCAGGUCUCUGGAAACGCUUCAUUUCCCCCAAAUUGAUGAUGCAUGGGAAAGCUCCCAGUCAAAAUCCACAAAGCCCUCACCUCAUCCCCCUUCACAUCAUUCCUCAAACCUCUCGUAUUCUGUGAUGUGCACAGAAUCCUGCAACCGGAGAAUGGCUAGGCCGGUCAGCUGUGAUCACUACUCCGCAUUGGCCCAGGAUCGUGCACACCCUAUCAUUUUUUUAACCUGUUUUCCCCCAAAUCCAUCGUGGUCUGCUUGUUUCAUCCACUAUCACCUUGUCUUUUAGGCUACACCUCCAGUGGAAGCUUACAGCCGGAGGAGACCUACCCCCUUUAGCUCUGGUUGAGCUAACCCUAAAAACAGGAGUGUAAUCACAGCGGCGCGAGCAAUGGGAUGGGCUAGCUACCCGAGUACAUACCCAGGGGCUCAGAUGGGUACGUAUACAGGGCAGCUAGCCCCUCUUGCUGCUGUUUUGAGAACGCUUUCUUGAUCGGAGCUAUUGUGGGUAUGUCUCCUCAAGCUGGGAAUUACCCCUCAAGAUGAAAGUGCUGAUGUACGCUUCGACUGGAAAGGGCUUGGGGCAGGGAAUGUAUUUUACCAUCUGUUUUCACAGACUUAGCCCAACAGAGCCCUUGCCUGGUGUGGCUCUGGAAACUACUGCAAAGUUAAAUGAAGCUAAAUCCUCCUUUCAACAGUCACAGAUACAUAUUUGUAAUUCAUGCAUUCCAUUCCAUUUACUCUGCAUGUCCUGCAAUAUGUAUGAGCAAUUGGUAAAGAACUGGUGUGUGUGACUGUGGGAGAAAGAGGGAGAACCACUGCCCUCUACUGGGGGAAUUUGAUCUGCUCGACUAGUACAGCACCAUGGGCCUUAUGCUUCUCACAGCUGAUAUUCUCCUUCAGUUGAUGUGGGAGGGACUUGUGCUUUUGGGGCAGGAGGAGCUGAGUUCUAUCCUGGAGUGGCCAUGGUGUUCAGCAUAACAGCAACCAUGAAGUCCUAGGUGGCCUGGAUCUUCUGUGUUUUGUCCUAUAUUGUUAAAGGAAGAACCCAAGAAGUGGAGGCUGCAUUGCCAUUCUUCCAUGGCAAGAGGUAAAGAGUUACACCUUUCCCUGCACAGCCUCAGAGCUGGCCUUCAGGAAGCAGGAAGAUGGUUCUCUUCUGCUUCCUGGAUUGCACAUGCCUUUGAUGCUUGAGUUACAAGAGUUGCCAGAUGCAACCAGUGAAGCAAUCACUGGUGGAUGUGCCAAUAUUAUGGCUGCUGAAUAAGAUGCGGGGGGGGGGGGGGUAUUUUUUUAACCAAAGUAUUAAAGAAAUAUAAAAAUGAAUACUUUGGCCUAAUACAGCACCCUUCAUUGGCACAUGAAGACCUUAAAUUGCUUAUUCCAAAGAUGAAUAAAUUAAGCCUCACCAAACAAAGCUACCUACAGACCAUCACCAUAAUUCCUGAGCACCUUCCCUUAGUAAAAUGACAACAGUGAUCUCUUUUUCCUUCCCUCUCUGCUGGGAAGAAGCAGCCUUUGCUUUUUCUAGGGAGCAGGAGAGAUGGAAGAAAGAUAUUCGUGUGGUAGAAGAACCUGACACCCCAGCAGUGACAGCGGAGGCUCCUGCAAGUCACAGCCGUGCUCUGGGAAACUUGUAUUACACCUGCCCACUUUUUACACAAAAAACAAAUGAAGAAAUAUAUAUUUACAACACGGGCAAACCAGGUGCGUCGAGCUGGGAGCACUCUGACCUGAAAGAAAUAUAUCCUGACGAGCUUUAUCACACGGGCAUGCCAGAUGGAGUCUGCAAAAGGGAUGUAAACCGUCCUGCACACAUAUGGAGUGUAUGAAUACCCCAGGGAUGAAGCCAAAUGCUUUGAGGGAGCUACAUCUGGGCCAGAAUGCAGCAGAUCAUCUGUUCACUAGAACACUUCACACUGAUUCACCAUUCCCUACACUGGCUCCCCACUGACCAGACUCCAGUGCACUGAUUUACAAACCUCUGCAUGGUAUUGGCUGGACCAAGACUAUGGAACUCCCUGACAGAUAAAAUAAAGUUCGCACCAAUAGA